GAUGAACGCUAGCGGCAGGCCUAACACAUGCAAGUCGAGGGGUAACAGAGAGAAGCUUGCUUUUCUGCUGACGACCGGCGCACGGGUGCGUAACGCGUAUACAAUCUGCCUUAUACAGAGGGAUAGCCUUUAGAAAUGAAGAUUAAUACCUUAUAGUCUAUUUUUAUAGCAUUAUUUAAAUAGUAAAGCUUCGGUGGUAUAAGAUGAGUAUGCGUCCUAUUAGUUAGUUGGUAAGGUAACGGCUUACCAAGACAACGAUAGGUAGGGGCCCUGAGAGGGGGAUCCCCCACACUGGUACUGAGACACGGACCAGACUCCUACGGGAGGCAGCAGUGAGGAAUAUUGGACAAUGGAGGCAACUCUGAUCCAGCCAUGCCGCGUGCAGGAAGACGGCCCUAUGGGUUGUAAACUGCUUUUAUAUAGGAAGAAACCUUUUCACGUGUGAGAAGCUGACGGUACUAUAAGAAUAAGGACCGGCUAACUCCGUG
rnacentral:rRNA from 1 species